CUCUGACUCUCCUUGGACAUCCCUGGAAAGCUAGAAGGCAACCUGUUCCCACCAGGAAGCCUGAUCUUUCUCCCAACUGGAGCACAACAAUGAAGCACACAAAAAUUGCAAACAGCUGAUUGUUAAGAGGACUCAAUGCUAAUUGCUGCCUGUCAGAAGAAAUGGGUGUCUGGUUGGCAGGGUUACCCUGUGACGUCCCCUCAAAUGAAGAAUAUAAUCUCCAUGGAGCAAAACAAAAGCCAGUGAACUUCCUGCCAAGAACCAGACAAGGAGAAAUGGUUUCUGGGCCUUCCUCUUUGGGACAUAAGCCAGGAGAGUGAGUUACACAGAUCUCAUAACAAGAACAAAGAAAAGGCAAAGCUGGAACUGAAGAAUGAAGACUGGUAGACGGUGAAGUUUACCCUCCAGUGGUUCUGAUACAUGCAAAGCUCUGGCUUGGAAGAAAAAUAGAAUUCUCACCUAGUGAAUAGAAAUGUCAUGGUAAGAGGAGAUUGGGGAGAGGGUUCCAGACAUACUAGUAAUGAGUCUUUAACAAGGAGACCUUUGUAAAUUGUGCCUCACCACAGACUAAUCUGAGAUGAUGUUUGAGGAAAAAAUAUUGAUUA